rnacentral:rRNA from 1 species
UACGUAGGGUGCGAGCGUUAAUCGGAAUUACUGGGCGUAAAGCGUGCGCAGGCGGUUUUGUAAGCCAGAUGUGAAAUCCCCGGGCUCAACCUGGGAAUUGCAUUCGAGACUGCAUUGCUGGAGUACGGAAGAGGAGGGCGGAAUUCCCGGUGUAGCGGUGAAAUGCGUAGAUAUCGGGAGGAACAUCAGUGGCGAAGGCGGCCCUCUGGUCCAGUACUGACACUCAAGUGCGAAAGCGUGGGGAGCAAACAGG